CUUAAAAGAAAUAACCUUUCAUUUUUCUGCCAUCAUUCAUAAAGCACACAGUAAAACAAGGUAUUUACUGUACAUUGAGUACCAUAACAUCAUGAUCAGUUUCUAUCCUAUCUGAUUUUUAGAGAAAUGAUGUUCGUCAUAUGUAUUGGAUCUAGACACAAAGCCAAAAGAACCUGACAAAAUUAAUAAUGACUCAUGAUCCUGUUUCUUGAUUGUUUUCGCUUAAUAUAGUUAAGAUAUUGCUUUGAUUUGCAGUGGAGAGGGUAGAAAGGUGCCAUGACGUGAACAGUGAAACUGGUUCACCAGCAACUACAAUGUGCCAGAUUCUGCCCUCUGCUAGCAUACCGGGCUCCCAUCAAAGCCAGUACUUUUGUUUCUCCAGACCUGGAGAAAAAUCACAAUAUAGAAUUCUUUGAAAAUAAGGAUUUUUCCUUGCUGACAAUAAUAUUUCCAUUUAUUUGAGCUAUUCUCAGGAAAAAAUACAGCAGUGUAAGCGUUAUUACUGUUGCAAUCCCCCUCUAAAGCUGGAUCCAGCAAAGCCCUAACGCAGAUCUUUAAACAGAUUAUGAUGAUCCAGUCUGACCUCCUGCACAACACAGGGCACAGAAUUUUUACUCAAUGAUUCCUGCAUGAAGCCUAUAAAUUAAGACCACAGUUUUAACUUUACAGGAAAGCCAGAAAGAGCAUCUGCCCUCUCAUGUUCUAAAGAAGACUAAUAUUGACUGUCAUAAAGAUAUCUGACCAAUAUAAAACACCAUCAAAGCAAUACAUCAGCUGCAAAAGAAAGUACCUCAGUUUUGUUCCUUGUAUUUUAAAUAAAGGUUUAUAGUCAGUUGUUAAAA